rnacentral:misc_RNA from 1 species
GAUGAAGAACGUAGCGAAAUGCGAUAAGUAAUGUGAAUUGCAGAAUUCCGUGAAUCAUCGAAUCUUUGAACGCAUAUUGCGCCCGCUGGUAUUCCGGCGGGCAUGCCUGUUCGAGCGUCAUUUCAACCCUCAAGCCCCCGGGUUUGGUGUUGGGGAUCGGCUCUGCCCUUCUGGGCGGUGCCGCCCCCGAAAUACAUUGGCGGUCUCGCUGCAGCCUCCAUUGCGUAGUAGCUAACACCUCGCAACUGGAACGCGGCGCGGCCAUGCCGUAAAACCCCAACUUCUGAAUGUUGACCUCGGAUCAGGUAGGAAUACCCGCUGAACUUAAGCAUAUCAAUAAGCGGAGGA